rnacentral:rRNA from 1 species
UACGGGGGGGGGCAAGCGUUGUUCGGAAUUACUGGGCGUAAAGGGCGCGUAGGCGGCCAUCUAAGUCAGACGUGAAAUCCCCCGGCUUAACCUGGGAACUGCGUCUGAUACUGGACGGCUUGAGUAUGGGAGAGGGAUGUGGAAUUCCAGGUGUAGCGGUGAAAUGCGUAGAUAUCUGGAGGAACACCGGUGGCGAAGGCGGCAUCCUGGACCGACGACUGACGCUGAGGCGCGAAAGCUAGGGGGAGCAAAC